rnacentral:rRNA from 1 species
GGUAGUCCACGCCGUAAACGAUGGAAGCUAGCCGUUGGUAAGUUUACUUAUCGGUGGCGCAGCUAACGCAUUAAGCUUCCCGCCUGGGGAGUACGGUCGCAAGAUUAAAACUCAAAGGAAUUGACGGGGCCCCGCACAAGCGGCGGAGCAUGCGGAUUAAUUCGAUGCAACGCGUAGAACCUUACCUGGGUUUGACAUGGAUCGGGAGCUUCCAGAGAUG